rnacentral:rRNA from 1 species
AUACGUAGGUGCCAAGCGUUAUCCGGAUUUACUGGGCGUAAAGGGAGUGUAGGCGGUCUUGUAAGUCUGAAGUGAAAUUCCUGAGCUCAACUGGGGCGCUGCUUCUGAAACUGCAGGACUUGAGUGCUGGAGGGGAUAGCGGAAUUCCCAGUGGAGCGGUAAAAUGCGCAAAUAUUAGGAAGAAAACCGGUGGCGAAGGCGGUUAUCGGAACAGUAAUGGACGUUGAGGCGCGAAGUCGUGGUGAGCAAACAGGAUUAGAUCCCCUGGUAGUCCACGCCGUAAACGAUGAAGACUAGGUGUGGGGGGACUGACCCCCUCCGUGCCGCAGUUAACACAAUAAGUAUUCCACCUGGGGAGUACGGCCGCAAGGUUGAAACUCAAAUGAAUUGACGGGG